UUUUAUUAGAUGAUAACUUGUUGAUAAAAACCCAACCCAACAUUUCAGAAAACCACAACAUUUCAAAUGUUACCAUCAGCUUACAUGGUCAACUGCUGGGAAAGCUGAUGUGUAUUGUCCAGAACAAUAUAAGCAGACAACAAACCAUCAUCCACCUUAUAAGAUGUACAGGUAAUAUUUCUGACCACUGUGUCGUGACUGUGGCUGUGGUGGAAGCAUUGCCAUUCUACUCAUUCUGGCUGUGUUUCUUGGUGUCCGGAAAUUCCAAAAGACUGGCACUAUGACUGUUAAUGAAGAUGAUGCUGAAGUGGAUGUUGUCUACUCAGAGGUUAGACUGAAGCAGGAUGGAAGAGAAACAAGAGAAACACCACCUAUUUCAAAUCAAGAUGAAAGUUAACGUUGACUUUUGGUCAAGUAGCUAAUAAAACUAUGCCAGUUUAGCAGUUCCAGCUGUGCAGUUAAUGUAAAGUGAAGAGCUCUCUGCACUGCACAGCAUAUGCUUUGUUGCUCGGCUUGUGUUUUGGAUGACUGAGAACCAACAGAGACAUCAA
ensembl:lncRNA